AAUCUGGGUCUGGACAAAAUCUAGCUUCAGCUAUUACUACAACAGUAAAAGAAUGGAAUAUUAAUACUGAUAACAUCAAAGCAUUGUGUUCUGAUACUACGGCGUCAAAUACGGGAAUCAGAAAUGGUGCGUGUGUAUUAGUAGAAAAGGCUCUGAAUCGAAAACUGUGAUACUUGCCAUGUCGACACUAUAUUUUUGGAAUUGUUCUUCGAAGUGCAUUUGAAAUAUACUGGCCUGCUUCAUCUGGCCCAAGCGUUCCAAUCUAUCAGAGAUUUAAAAAAUAAAUGGGAUAAAAUUGAUCAAUCCAACUUUACGGCUGGUAUUUGUGACAAAGAAGUUUUGGAAGUUAUAACACUAAUCAAAGAUGACAUUUUGAAGUUCGUUAAUGAUCAAAUAGAAAUGGAUCAUUGUCGAGACGAUUACCGUGAACUUCUGCAAUUAUCAUUGAUAUUUUUGGGUGUUACUACCACAAAUAUUACGUUUAAGCGUCCCGGAGCCAUCCAUCAUGCAAGGUGGAUGGCUAAAGCAAUAUAUAGUUUAAAAAUUUUUUUAUUUAGAAAUGUAUUUCAUCUCACUAAAUCAGAAAUAACUGGGUUACGAGAACUUAGUUUAUUUAUCAUAAUAUUCUAUUUAAAAGCUUGGUUUACUGCGCCGUGUGCUAUAACAGCGCCUAAUAAUGAUUUAAGUCUAAUUAAAGAAUUAAUUUCAUAUAAAAAAUUUAAUAAAACUAUUUCACGGGUAUGCUCAGAAAAAUUAGCCGAUCACUUGUGGUACUUAAACAACGAGUUGUUUGUUUUAUCUCUCUUUGACAAAACUGUUUCAGUUGAAACAAAAAGAAGAAUAGUUCAUACUUUCAAAACCUGUAAAACCAAUGGAACUACAACGGAUCGCUUUAUAAUAGAUAAGAAAAACUUAAAGUCAUUAUUAAAUAGAGAUCUUAGUCAAUUUGUAUCUAUGAGAUCGAUAAAUCUGUUUGAAUUGUUUAAUUUGUCGUAUGAUUUCAUUGAUGAGGAUGUAACUUUGUGGCCUCAGAAUCUAAAUUUUAUAGAAAACUUGGAGUAUUUUGAGAAACUUCAAGUUGUAAAUGAUGUGGCAGAACGCGGCGUGGCAUUGAUAGAGCAGUAUAUAAUCGAUGCUUAACCAAAAAUGAAGAACAGCUUCAGUAUUUAUUGCAAGUAGUGACAGAACACAGAAAACGAUAUCCUAAUUGCAAUAAAAAUAAUUUUAUAAAACUGUAAUAUUUUCGAGUUAGAAAAAAUUUUAUGACUUGUUAAAUAUUGAUUUUUCUUAUAAAGAAUUGAUUGUUCGAUAAAAUUUAUUAGUAUUUAGCAGAGAAAAUAAAAUAAAUUUGUUAUUAAAGAAGCCCAAAAAUCAUUUAUUUGAUAUUUUUAACCUUUAUAUUUAUGUAUUUGUGCUUUUUGUGAGUUACGUAUGGAGUAAAUAAGCAAAAAUAAAGUUCAAAAACUCACAUUAACAGAAUUCAAGUGAUUUUACAAAAAAUAUAUAAUCUAAAUAUAGAGUAUGAUUUUUUUUUGCAGUUUUAUUGGAAAAUAUUUGAAAUUUUUUAUUAGUAUUAUUUUUG